rnacentral:rRNA from 1 species
UACGGGGGGGGCAAGCGUUGUUCGGAAUUACUGGGCGUAAAGGGUUCGUAGGUGGCCAACUAAGUCAGACGUGAAAUCCCUCAGCUCAACUGGGGAACUGCGUCUGAUACUGGUUGGCUUGAGUGCAGGAGAGGAACGCGGAAUUCCAGGUGUAGCGGUGAAAUGCGUAGAUAUCUGGAGGAACACCGGUGGCGAAGGCGGCGUUCUGGACUGUAACUGACACUGAUGAACGAAAGCCAGGGGAGCAAACGGG